GCGCCUCUCCCGCAGGACAUAGCGGGCCAAGCAGCACGGGGUGGGCGACAGCAGACGAGGGGCGCCUCGCUCCGAUUCCCGGCUGCGACUGGCGGAGGCUCUGGAGCAACGCGGUCCCGGUGUGCAAUACGCACACGCCGCGGCGCAGGGACACAGACCCGACUGCCCGCGGCCACACGCACCGAGAGACCAGGCUCGGCGCGCGCUCCGCGGCGCACACGCUCCAGCCGGUGCGGCUCUGGGCGCGGAUUCGCGGGUUGCGCGCCCUCCUGCACAUUCAGUCCCGGCGCCCAGCAGUCUGGACCGGCCCGGAGACCAGCAGGGAGAAGAUAACCCAGAAUCUCACCUU
rnacentral:lncRNA from 1 species